UGCUUGUAGGCGCAUUAACAAUUCUCUGGCCACGUCCCUCGGACGGUUUGAAGUAAAUGGUGACGGUUGACACCACCCCACAAUCUCUAACAGCCCGACUGAACUGUAAAUAGCCCUCAUCAAUCAGAUUUUGAAUACCAGCCUUCAACUGUAUGCAACCAUUUUCUGAUUCAGCACAGUCUGCACAACCUUCACAACAGCCCGGGAAUACUCCCCCAUUCAACAAAUGAUCUUUCACAACAAACAACGGAGUCUGAAUUUCCUCCACACUGAC
rnacentral:lncRNA from 1 species